rnacentral:sRNA from 1 species
UCGACGAUGCCGAGAACAUCCACGUGAUGUA